UACGUAGGUGGCAAGCGUUAUCCGGAAUGAUUGGGCGUAAAGGGUGCGUAGGCGGCGUCAUUAAGUCUGAAGUAAAACGGCAGCAGCUCAACUGCUGUAAGCAUUGGAAACUGAUGAGCUAGAGUGCAGGAGAGGUUAGUGGAAUUCCAUGUGUAGCGGUAAAAUGCGUAGAUAUAUGGAGGAACACCAGUGGCGAAGGCGGCUAAACU
rnacentral:rRNA from 1 species